rnacentral:rRNA from 1 species
GACGAACGCUGGCGGCGUGCUUAACACAUGCAAGUCGAACGGGCCUGUCUUCUUUUUUGGGGGUGGGUUGAGUGGCGAACGGGUGAGUAUCACGUGAGUAACCUGCCCUUCGGUCCUGGAUAACCGCUUGAAAGGGCGGCUAAUACGGGGUGGUCCGGUUGGUCCGCAUGGGCUGGUCGGGAUAGAUUCACUGUUUUUGGUGUUUCGGCGGGGGAUGGGCUCGCGGCCUAUCAGCUUGUUGGUGGGGUGAUGGCCUACCAAGGCGGUGACGGGUAGCCGGCCGGAGAGGGUGGGCGGCCACACUGGGACUGAGAUACGGCCCAGACUCCUGCGGGAGGCAGCAGUGGGGGGUAUUGCACAAUGGGCGGAAGCCUGGUGCAGCGACGUCGCGUGAGGGAUGGAGGCCUUCGGGUUGUGAACCUCUGUUUCCGGUGGUGAAGGCCCUGUCCGUGUGGUGGGGUUGACGGUAGCCGGGGAUGAAGCGCCGGCUAACUACGUG